rnacentral:rRNA from 1 species
UACGGGGGGGGCAAGCGUUGUUCGGAAUUACUGGGCGUAAAGGGCUCGUAGGUGGCCAACUCAGUCAGACGUGAAAUCCCUCGGCUUAACCGGGGAACUGCGUCUGAUACUGGAUGGCUUGAGGUUGGGAGAGGGAUGCGGAAUUCCAGGUGUAGCGGUGAAAUGCGUAGAUAUCUGGAGGAACACCGGUGGCGAAGGCGGCAUCCUGGACCAACAUCUGACGCUGAGGAGCGAAAGCCAGGGGA